CACCAGGAAACGUACCAGAUAGUUUGGUGUGAAGAUAGAAUCGUUCCUACUUGGAUAAACAUAUCUGUUGCAUUAUUAAAAUCCAUUCGUCUCUGCAUUCUAAAUAGGAACCAUAUCAGAAGAUUACAAACCUUGACCCUGAAAGUAUAAACAGUGUGGUAACAUGUGUACAAGAAAAUGUGUUACACCCUUCGAAGAGAAACUCAAGAGAAUCCUUGUGGAGACCAGAAAGGUUUUGUAAUGCUUCAGG